CUACGGGGCGCUCCAGGCGAGAAAACUUUGCAAUGUGCGAAAGCACGACAAGGUUAAUCCGAGUGGUUUCUGCUAAAGGAACCUUUUGACAGUCCUAGAAACGCUGUUGAAUAAGGGGUGGGCAAGUUCUGGUGUCAGCCGCCGCGGUAAAACCAGCACCUCAAGUGGUCAGGAUGAUUAUUGGGCCUAAAGCAUCCGUAGCCGGCUCUGUAAGUUUUCGGUUAAAUCUGUACGCUCAACGUACAGGCUGCCGGGAAUACUGCAGAGCUAGGGAGUGGGAGAGGUAGACGGUACUCGGUAGGAAGGGGUAAAAUCCUUUGAUCUAUUGAUGACCACCUGUGGCGAAGGCGGUCUACCAGAACACGUCCGACGGUGAGGGAUGAAAGCUGGGGGAGCAAACCGGAUUAGAUACCCUAGUAGUC
rnacentral:rRNA from 1 species